GAUGAAGAACGUAGCGAAAUGCGAUACGUAAUGUGAAUUGCAGAAUUCAGUGAAUCAUCGAGUCUUUGAACGCACAUUGCGCCCCCUGGUAUUCCGGGGGGCAUGCCUGUCCGAGCGUCAUUGCUGCACUCAAGCACGGCUUGUGUGUUGGGCCUCCGUCCUCCUCCCGGGGGACGGGCCCGAAAGGCAGCGGCGGCACCGCGUCCGGUCCUCGAGCGUAUGGGGCUUCGUCACCCGCUCUUGUAGGCCCGGCCGGCGCUUGCCGACACAUCAAUCUUUUUUCCAGGUUGACCUCGGAUCAGGUAGGGAUACCCGCUGAACUUAAGCAUAUCAAUAAGCGGAGGA
rnacentral:misc_RNA from 1 species